rnacentral:rRNA from 1 species
AUGGCUUCUUCGUCCGGCGUCGGCCUCAACCUCGGAUCGCCGCCAUCUGAGAAGCUAGCAAGAGGAAACUUCAUCCUCUGGAAGACCCAGGUGCUCGCAGCCCUGCGAGGUGCGCAGGUAACCGGGCUCCUGGACAACUCUGACGCCGCUCCACCCAAGACUGUGGAGAUCACGAAGGCGGACAAGACGACGGCCCUCAAGCCGAACCCUCUGUACGGGCCCUGGAUCGCCAAAGACCAGCAGGUCCUGUCAUAUCUUCUCAACUCCAUGUCUCCAGAAAUCCUUGCGCAAGUCGUCGGGAAGGACUCCACCUAUGAGCUCUGGACGACGGUGAACAAUCUCUUCGCCUCGCAAUCACAGUCCCGGAUCACCAAUCUAAGGAUCGCGAUCACCAAUACCAAGAAGGGCACAAUGUCGAGCUCGGCGUAUAUGGCGAAGAUGAAAAGCCUUGGGGAUGAACUAGCUGCCGCUGGUCGUCCCGUCUCUGAUCCGGAGAUGGUGGACUACAUACUCGCAGGACUCGACCGCGACUACGACUCUGUGGUGGCGGCGAUCGGCGCUGUCAAGAACACAAUCACCGCCGAUGACCUCUUCGCUCAGAUCUCCGCCUUUGAUCAGAGGAUGGAGAUGCUGGGAGACUCGUCUUCAGGCGGGUUUCAUUCAUCUGCCAACGCCGUCUACAGAGGCCGCGGCCAGUCCCGUGGUAGAUCCCGUGGGCGAGGAGGAAGAGGGCGCGGCCGCGGUGACCGCGGUGACCGCGGUGACCGCCAGCCUUCUCCUGCAAAUAGAGGCGGCGGAUUCAGAGGACGCCCUCGACAGCAACAGCAACAGCAGGUACGCGAGCAGCAGCAUGACUAUCCUGAGUGCCAGAUAUGCUAUAGACAUCAUCCAGGAGGUGCACGUGUCUGCUGGUGGCGCUAUGAAGAGAAUGAUCAAGAAGAGAAGGAGGCGCAUGCUGUCUCCUAUGGCGUGGACACUAAUUGGUACGCAGACAGUGCAGCAACAAAUCACAUCACAGGUGAACUUGACAAGCUGACAGUACGGGAGAAGUACAACGGAGGCGACCAAAUUCGCACGGCAAGCGGUUCUGGUAUGAAUAUCACCCACAUUGGUAGUUCAAUUGUUCAAAACCCCAUGAAAAAUUUGCACCUUAAAGAUGUCUUGCAUGUUCCUCAAACUUCCAAAAAUCUUGUUUCUGUUCAUCGAUUCACCCUUGAUAAUAAUGUUCUUAUAGAAUUCUAUCCUCACUUUUUCUUGGUUAAGGAUUUGAGCACAAGGAGAAUCAUUCUUAGAGGACGGUGCGUGGGAGGCCUCUAUCCACUCAUAUCAUCAUCAUCAUCUUCAUGGUCCAAUAAACAAGCAAAUAUUGUCACCAAGCCAUCAUCAUCAAGGUGGCAUAGUCGAUUAGGUCAUCCAUCUUCAGUCAUAGUUAAAUAUGUUCUUAGCAAAAAUAAACUCUCUUAUGAGAAUAGUGUUGAGUCAGUUUGUGAUCCGUGUCAACAAGCAAAAAGUCAUCAAUUACCCUAUCCCAUCUCUACUAGUGUGUCUACUGCUCCUCUACAACUUAUAUUUUCAGAUGUAUGGGGACCAGCCCCUACUUCAGUUGGGAGAUUUUCUUACUAUGUAAGCUUUAUUGAUGACUAUAGUAAAUUUACUUGGAUUUACUUGUUAAAGAAACGGUCUGAUGUAUUCCAAGUCUUCAUCAAUUUUCAAAACCUUGUUGAACGCAAACUGAACUCCAAGAUCAUUGCUAUGCAAAGUGACUGGGGUGGUGAGUAUGAAAAAUUGAACUCUUUCUUCCAAAAACUUGGUAUUUCACAUCAUGUCUCUUGCCCUCAUGCUCAUCAACAAAACGGAUCUGCUGAAAGAAAGCACCGUCACAUAGUUGAUAUGGGGCUAGCAUUGCUAGCAAAUGCAUCCAUGCCACUCAAAUUCUGGGAUGAAGCAUUCUUAACCGCUACAUAUCUUAUCAAUUUGCUUCCUAGUAAAGUCAUCAAAUUUGAAACACCUAUUACACGACUCCUUGGUGUCACACCCAACUACACAUCUCUUCGUGUUUUCGGUUGUGCAUGUUGGCCCAACCUCAGACCCUAUAACACACGCAAACUCGCUUUUCGCUCCAAAAAGUGUGUCUUCUUAGGCUAUAGUCCCAUGCACAAAGGAGUUAAAUGUCUAGAUGUUCCUACUGGUAGGGUCUACAUAUCCAGAGAUGUAGUUUUUGAUGAGUCAGUGUUCCCUUUUGCUUCCCUUCAUCCCAAUGCUGGUGCACUUCUCCGCAAGGAAAUCCUUCUUCUUCCUCCACAUCUUCGGUCUUUUGAUCAUGGGGGCGACAGUUGUACUAACCAAAGUGAUGAUAUUCCUGCUGGUAUUGGUUCUUCUCUGUUGCCUGUACAGGUCCCUGGUGAAAACGGCGCUCAAAAUGAUCAAAAUUUCGAAAAUCAAGCUCAAGAUCAUCUUAUAUUUCAUGCUGAGGAAGGAGACGAACCUGGCACAGAUGACGAAGCUGAUCCGGCGGCGCCCGCAACUCCUGUUCGUGCGCAGACCUCGAAUCCCGCGGCCAAAUCAGCCUCGGAUCGCGCUCCCACCAACCGCAGCGCUGAUUGA